CAGUUGCGGCGCGCGAGGACGCUGAAUGACUGCCUUCAUUUUGAAUUUUUCCAGGGGAAACUCGCUUAAUUUUUUUUUUUUUUUUUUUUUGCGAAAAACGCUCGCCUCGGCUCUCCUUUACGGCGUGGGGGGAGGAGCUCAUUGGAGGCAGGUGCGCACCAGGGAGCCAGAAAGCGGAUGCAGGUGCACUAAUGGGCAUGAGCAGCAAAAAGGUGAGCGGGUGGUGCUUCCUCCGACGAUGGGAACGUGUACAAAACGUUUCCAGCUCCCAACUAUUGACACUUGUGUGCUUUUUGCAGGUUGUAAGACGAGCUCGCCAGGUGGGAGGAGGGUGGUGGAGGUGCAGAAUCCGAUGACGCACCAGGGUCAGCAGUUCUUAAAGACCAAUCAGAAUCAUCUCGAUGAUGGGCAGCGGCGGAUUGGGCAAGAACACAGAAAUCGGAGAAAUAAGUUAUGACUAUAACUAAUACAGUACAUGUGAAAAACUGUACACGGCGAUGCUGUCCAGUCGGGGUCCUCAAAGCCGCAUUCAACACGAACUUGUGCCAGGAAGCUGCAAGAGGAUUUUGGAGGCAGAGCUCUGGCAGCGUGCAGGACCUCAAGGGGGGCUUGAGGGCCCAUCUUUUCAGCAGUUUUGCUCGGAGGUGGAAAGCAGAACACGGGACUGAUUCGAUGACUGGAAUGUCGAACUCCCUCAGCAGCUUCUGCGGCAGGCCACGUUUCUUUAGCAGACGCGGGAAGUCGACCUUCCGCUGGGCCUUUUUCAGGUCUGGAGCGAUUUUUAAACUCCCAGGAAGUUGAAGGUCUCCACGGUGAACGCACGGCAGCUGGGACUGCCUCAUGAAGUCCGCAAUAUUUUCUCCGCUCAUCUCUGCAGACGCGUCGCAAUCUUUGAGGCCGCUGGAGCGUCGACCGGAACGGCAAACUGUCCUCUUGCGGACCUUCACGCUGAUGCCACUGCGCUUCCCCCUUUGUUGUCUUUGCCUUGGUUUUAGCCGGUGUUGCAUAAAAUAUGCCACUUUUGGGACAUAAGUAGAUGAAGUUGUUCUAAUUUUAGAAGUGUUGCGUGUUUUUUUUUUUUUUUUUUUUUUUCCCCUCUCUCCACUCUUGCCCCCGCGUCGAAGAGGUGGAGCAGAGAAAACGAGGCGCCAACAUCCACCGGAUGAGGGUAAGAAGUACACACAAAUUGAAGUCACCAGCGUGCAACUAAUUGUGUUGUGCGUACAUAUUUUGGAGGCGAGCUGCAGAAAGGCUGAGCAAGGGGAAACGGAACGGACCAAAUAAAGGAAGCAAGCGCGACGUGAACGUGGUGAACGGGAGGAGGGCAGCUUUGGCGAAGGAAGUUCGGAGAGUUUUGCGGAUCUUCCUUGGUCGACUGGAGCCGGCUGGUCUUGAUUUGUAGCAUCUGCGGUGCCGACGUCCCUUGGAGCCGAUCGGCUCGUUUUGGUCUGUCUGGGUCCAGAACGGAUUUCAGUGUCGGCGUACGCUGCAGCUUUCGAGGGGGUCAGGGGUCGGUUGUAGCGGGCGACCCCCGUGAAGACGACGCGUGGCCAAGCAGCUCGACGAGGGAGGACUUCUUGUCUCUCGCAUCCCCAAACAAAGGCGCCAACCGGAGGUUGCUGUAAAAGGUGCUGCUGCAUCUUUUCCCUUUUGGACUCGGCCCGUUUUGGGGUCCUCCUUUGGACCCGCUCCCACUGCAGGGCAGUCCGAGGGGAUGGAUUCCGGUGUCCCCUCACCUGGCACGCCACCGGCAAUCUGGAACAAAAGGUCGCCCCGCUCCAACCGCACAGGGAGAGUCUGUCUUGGUUCUGAGUUUGUGGCCACUCCCGCUCUGGGGAUGCAACUGCGCAAGAAGCGGGAACGCAAGUAGGAAUUGCGGUCAAAGUUAAAGGGUGAACAGGGGCGGGCAGAGUAGCGAGCCGUGUGGCUUCCCUUGGUUGACGAGCAAUGGAAGCGAGUUGUUUGGUAGUUGGUCAGAUUUUUGACAGGAGGGCAGGUGUGUAAAGGCUGGCGGUUGGAUAAUUUCGUUGGGUUCGGCGGUCGCUGUGAGGCCGGAUCUGGUUUUCUGGCAUGUCCUGAAUGUUGCUCAUUUUUGAGUCCUACUGCAGCCCUUGAAUGAAUGCGAGAACCCACCGCAAAAACUCAUAUUUGGUAUUGUUUCAGCAAAUGGCAGAACACGAGAUGAACGAUGAAUUUCCCCGUCAGGCAAGUGUACAGUUAUUGCACAUUAACAUCUGUGACCACAUGUUAAAGUAUUUUCUCACCCCCCACCCCAAAAUAAAACUCCGUCUAGAACAAAGUUCUUCCGCCGGGGGCCAAGCACCCGGGAUGCAGGCAGAGUAUGUCUCGGUUCUACUUGGGUGUUUGUCCACUUCCUCACUAACUCACUGGGUGUGCACCAACUAAUGCUAACUUUUAAUUGGAUGUUUUUCCUUUGUUUUGAGAUGUGCUUUUAUGGCAAGAAUUGUGAACUUUGUUGACAAAAUUUAUUGUGAUG